GUGCUCACUUCGGGAGCACAUAUACUAAAACUGGAAUGAUAUAGAGAAAAUUAGCAUGGCCCCUAUGCAAGGAUGACAAGAAAAUUCAUGAAAAAUUCCAUAUUUUU